UACGGGAGGCAGCAGUGGGGAAUAUUGCACAAUGGGCGCAAGCCUGAUGCGGCCAUGCCGCGUGUAUGAAAAAGGCCUUCGGGUUGUAAAGUACUUUCAGUCGUGAGGAAGGUGUUAAGGUUAAUAACCUUAGCAAUUGACGUUAGCGACAGAAGAAGCACCGGCUAACUCCGUGCCAGCAGCCGCGGUAAUACGGAGGGUGCGAGCGUUAAUCGGAAUUACUGGGCGUAAAGGGCACGCAGGCGGUUAAUUAAGUUGGAUGUGAAAUCCCCGGGCUUAACCUGGGAAUGGCAUUCAAGACUGGUUAGCUAGAGUCUUGUAGAGGGGGUAGAAUUCCAUGUGUAGCGGUGAAAUGCGUAGAGAUGUGGAGGAUACCGGUGGCGAAGGCGGCCCCUGGACAAGACUGACGCUCAUGUGCGAAAGCGUGGGGAGCAAACAGGGAUUAGAUACCCGU
rnacentral:rRNA from 1 species